rnacentral:rRNA from 2 species
GGUUAAGCGACUAAGCGUACACGGUGGAUGCCCUGGCAGUCAGAGGCGAUGAAGGACGUGCUAAUCUGCGAAAAGCGCCGGCGAGGUGAUAUGAACCUUUGACCCGGCGAUGUCCGAAUGGGGAAACCCAGUGCAAUCCGUUGCACUAUCGUUAACUGAAUACAUAGGUUAACGAGGCGAACCGGGGGAACUGAAACAUCUAAGUACCCCGAGGAAAAGAAAUCAACCGAGAUUCCCCCAGUAGCGGCGAGCGAACGGGGAGCAGCCCGGAGUCUGAAUCAGCUUGUGUGUUAGUGGAACGGUCUGGAAAGUCCGACGGUACAGGGUGAUAGUCCCGUACACGAAAGCACACUUGCUGUGAACUCGAAGAGUAGGGCGGGACACGUGGUAUCCUGUCUGAAUAUGGGGGGACCAUCCUCCAAGGCUAAAUACUCCUGACUGACCGAUAGUGAACCAGUACCGUGAGGGAAAGGCGAAAAGAACCCCGGCGAGGGGAGUGAAAAAGAACCUGAAACCGUGUACGUACAAGCAGUGGGAGCCUCUUUAUGGGGUGACUGCGUACCUUUUGUAUAAUGGGUCAGCGACUUAUAUUCUGUAGCAAGGUUAACCGUAUAGGGGAGCCGAAGGGAAACCGAGUCUUAACUGGGCGUUAAGUUGCAGGGUAUAGACCCGAAACCCGGUGAUCUAGCCAUGGGCAGGUUGAAGGUUGGGUAACACUAACUGGAGGACCGAACCGACUAAUGUUGAAAAAUUAGCGGAUGACCUGUGGCUGGGGGUGAAAGGCCAAUCAAACCGGGAGAUAGCUGGUUCUCCCCGAAAGCUAUUUAGGUAGCGCCUCGUGAACUCAUCUUCGGGGGUAGAGCACUGUUUCGGCUAGGGGGCCAUCCCGGCUUACCAACCCGAUGCAAACUACGAAUACCGAAGAAUGUUAUCACGGGAGACACACGGCGGGUGCUAACGUCCGUCGUGAAGAGGGAAACAACCCAGACCGCCAGCUAAGGUCCCAAAGUCAUGGUUAAGUGGGAAACGAUGUGGGAAGGCACAGACAGCCAGGAUGUUGGCUUAGAAGCAGCCAUCAUUUAAAGAAAGCGUAAUAGCUCACUGGUCGAGUCGGCCUGCGCGGAAGAUGUAACGGGGCUAAACCAUGCACCGAAGCUGCGGCAGCGACGCUUA